CGGCGUGCCUAACACAUGCAAGUCGAGCGAGGAGAGUCCUUCGGGAUGAUCCUAGCGGCGGACGGGUGAGUAACACGUGGGCAACCUGCCUCAUAGAGAGGAAUAGCCUUCCGAAAGGGAGAUUAAUACCUCAUAACAUUGCAGUUUCGCAUGGAACAGCAAUUAAAGGAGCAAUCCGCUAUGAGAUGGGCCCGCGGCGCAUUAGCUAGUUGGUGAGGUAACGGCUCACCAAGGCGACGAUGCGUAGCCGACCUGAGAGGGUGAUCGGCCACAUUGGGACUGAGACACGGCCCAGACUCCUACGGGAGGCAGCAGUGGGGAAUAUUGCACAAUGGGGGAAACCCUGAUGCCAGCAACGCCGCGUGAGUGAUGACGGCCUUCGGGUUGUAAAGCUCUGUCUUCAGGGACGAUAAUGACGGUACCUGAGGAGGAAGCCACGGCUAACUACGUGCCAGCCGCCGC
rnacentral:rRNA from 1 species